CACGUAGGGACCAAGCGUUGUCCGGAUUCAUUGGGCGUAAAGAGCUCGUAGGCGGUUCGGUAAGUCGGGUGUGAAACCUCCAGGCUCAACCUGGAGACGCCACCCGAUACUGCUGUGACUAGAGUCCAGUAGGGGAGCGUGGAAUUCCUGGUGUAGCGGUGAAAUGCGCAGAUAUCAGGAAGAACACCCGUGGCGAAGGCGGUUCUCUGGGACGGUACUGACGCUGAGACGCGAAAGCGUGGGGAGCGAACAGG
rnacentral:rRNA from 1 species